GGCCGGUUAGCGCAGUUGGUUAGAGCGUGGUGCUAAUAAUGCCAAGGUCGUGGGUUCGAUCACCAUACUGGCCA
rfam:Salmo salar isolate Sally breed double haploid chromosome ssa27, whole genome shotgun sequence.